rnacentral:lncRNA from 1 species
UCAACAAUUUGUAAAUGUUGUCUCUGAAUCAAGAAUCAAGAUCUCCCAAUCCAAUUGCGAUGCUUUUCAUCAUCAUGUUCUUGUUCACAGCCGCAUGAACACUACGAGAGACAUGUGUUAUCACCGACCAAACCACUUAUUCUAAUCUUCACUUCCAAUUCAAAAUUCAACCUUUGAAUGUGAUGAAACCUGGGUGGUGUUUUUCCAACACACUCACACUGUUGCAUUAAGACUCUCUCCAACGUAUACCUAGAAUCAUAGACAAAACAAGAUCACCCC